AAUAAAAGAAUAUUGACCUUUUGUCUGCCACAACCUUUAUGGCCACAAGUGAGGCCAGUACAUUUUGGUCCCACGAACAGGAUUUGACCAAUCUCAGAAAAGUGCCACCCCAACACUAGUUUUAAAACAUUUUCGGAAAAAAAAAUUAUAAUGGCUACAAGUGCUCUAAGAUAAAUGUAUGGAUUCGACCACACUCGGGCCUUUCCCUAGAAGGAGAUGGAGUGUUUUGCAAACCUUGCGGCAAACCGAUUUCAUGUACUAAAAAGUACUUUAUUGAUCAACAUUGUGGAACGCCUCUUCAUAAAAGGAAUACUGAACAGACUAACUCGACUAGAUUGUUUCAAACUCCUCUGAGAGAAAGUUUAGGCUGUUCAAAAAAAGCGCAGGAAGACAAUUUUAAAUUUGAAUUAUGUCAGAUGAUGGUCGCAACUAGCAUUCCUUUAAAUAAAGUUAAUCAUCAUAGUUUUAAAGCUUUUUUCAAAAAUAAAUUUAAUAAAUCUGUGCCGGAUGAGAGCCCAUUGAGAAAAUUAACUCUAGACAAAUGUCAUAUUGAAUGCAUUUCAAAAAUUAAGGCAGAGUUGGAGGGAAAAUGUUUAUAUAUUAUUGUACGUAUGCGGCAGAUAUAUAGCUAAUUUGAUGGUUGGGAUUUUGAGUGAAAUUUUUUCAAACAGACCUUAUGUAAUUGCUGUUAAAGAAUUAGAAAAAAACUAACAAUUUAACUAUUAGUAGAUUUAUACAGGACAGUUUAACAAACCUUUUCUUACCCAAUGCCAUCCCAACCAAUAAAAUAAUAUUAAUACUUUCAGAUGCUGCGGCAUAUAUGUUAAAAGCU